rnacentral:tRNA from 1 species
GGGAUUGUGGCUCAGAGGUAGAGCACUUGCCUAGCAUGUGUGAGGCACUGAGUUCAAUCCUCAGCACCA